rnacentral:rRNA from 1 species
GAUGAACGCUGGCGGCGUGCCUAAUACAUGCAAGUCGAGCGAACAGACGAGGAGCUUGCUCCUUCGACGUUAGCGGCGGACGGGUGAGUAACACGUAGGUAACCUACCUAUAAGACUGGGAUAACUUCGGGAAACCGGAGCUAAUACCGGAUAAUAUUUCGAACCGCAUGGUUCGAUAGUGAAAGAUGGCUUUGCUAUCACUUAUAGAUGGACCUGCGCCGUAUUAGCUAGUUGGUAAGGUAACGGCUUACCAAGGCAACGAUACGUAGCCGACCUGAGAGGGUGAUCGGCCACACUGGAACUGAGACACGGUCCAGACUCCUACGGGAGGCAGAAGUAGGGAAUCUUCCGCCAUGGGCGAAAGCCUGACGGAGCAACGCCGCGUGAGUGAUGAAGGUCUUCGGAUCGUAAAACUCUGUUAUUAGGGAAGAACAAACGUGUAAGUAACUGUGCACGUCUUGACGGUACCUAAUCAGAAAGCCACGGCUAGCUACGUG